AUACGGAGGGUGCAAGCGUUAUUCGGAAUCACUGGGCGUAAAGGACGCGUAGGCGGGAAGCCAAGUCUGAUGUGAAAUCCUAUGGCUUAACCAUAGAACUGCAUUGGAAACUGGUUACCUAGAGUAUGGGAGGGGGAGAUGGAAUUAGUGGUGUAGGGGUAAAAUCCGUAGAUAUCACUAGGAAUACCGAAAGCGAAGGCGAUCUCCUGGAACAAUACUGACGCUAAGGCGUGAAAGCGUGGGGAGCAAACGGGAUUAGAAACCCGGGUAGUCC
rnacentral:rRNA from 1 species